rnacentral:lncRNA from 1 species
UUGGUUCGGUGCGCACCCACCUUUUUAGGGUGUGUGGAUUUCUGUAGAUUUUACUCCUGUUGUUAUUUCCAUAGGUGUGAGAUGCACAGUACGAAACCUAGGCCCCAGCUUUUACAUCGUGAUGCACAGGGUUGCACUUUUUGUACUGAACUGAUAGGUGGCCUAGUGGUUAUUCCCUGUACUGCCAUUUUGAGGAUCUGGACUCCGUUCCCUGCCUUGCUCUUUGGACUGCAUUGUCAAUUCACACCGGUGGGUAUAUCAUUUUGGAGGGUGGGGACUGCAGCAUCAGGAAAGCUAGAGACUUCCUCCUGAUCACCACCAGAACAUGAACUUUCAAAAUUUCAGCCUCGCCACAUUCCUCAAGGAACUCGUUAGAGCUGGUUGCAGUAAUGGGUUUUGAACGUUUAAAAUAUGUGUCUCUUUUAAGAGAAAAAUUUAAAGUCGAUGAUGUUGUUGUAAUCAUUUGCAUUCUGCACUUUUGGACAUAAAGUUUUAAGUAGUCUAUCUCAAGACUUGCUCAGCAUCUGAAAGCCUUAGUUACUUGGUUAAAGGGAUCUGGGGAAAGUAGUUCAUUGGUAGAGAUGUGACUGGCCUGGUAAGAGUCUCUGGAUUUGAUUUGUUCUUGUUUGGUAAUAUUGACAGUGAUGCUAGUAUCUGUGAAUGCUUUAUCCUACUGUUACAGACAUCUUACAUCGACGUGCCAAGAAAAAUCAAGGGAUACCAAAUAUAUGUAAAUAACUAUUUAAUGCUUGAAGAGGGUAGGGUUUUUUGUUUUUUAGGGGUUUGUUUGUUUUCGGUUGCUGUCAGGUAGCAUUUUGCUGAGUGAAAAAGAGGCACCUUGUUAUCAGUAUUGCUCUAAAAACUACAUUGGAUUCAUGGUUUGUUAUGCAUUUUUACUAUUUACACAGUCCAAUAUUAAAUACAAGUAAGAUUGUUUGUGAUCUCGAAAUACUGUGGUAUUAGUAUUUGUUAAACACAUAAAGUGAAUAAGAAGAGAACAGUUUCCUGUUAGAAUAUGUGUUUGUGAGAUAAAGUUUGCAAAUGUGCCUUUGUUCAUUCUUAUAAAUGAAAUGACAGAGUUAGCUAGUUUCUUUAUGGUGUUGGUCAUCAGGGAACCUCGUUGGAUGAGUGUGUAUGUCCUUACAGUUUCAGCGGUUAGCUAGGUCUGGCACAAAAGGGGAGGGUUGGAAGGUGGGAAUUUGUUUUUAUCAUAUGUGAAUAGUGUUUUCUUUACAUAGAUGUGCUUUGUGUGCCUGCAGUGCCCAAGGAAACCAAAAGAGAGCAAUAGAUUUCCUAACAUUGGAGUUGCUGAUGGUUAUGAUGGUAAGAGUGCUGGGAACCGAACUUGGUCCUCUGCAAGAGCAGCUGAGCCAUCGCUUAGACCUAUGAAAGCUGAGAUUUACAGUAUAUGAACUAGAAUCCUUUGACCAGCCUUAGUUAACCUGAGUAGGGAAGUGAGUGUUCUGUUUAAUUUAUUAUCUUGAUUUGCUGAAAGGGUUUCUUCUUACUAUUGUAAUAGUCUCUACUAGACAUUAAAAAUAACCAGAUCUUAAAUUUUGGCUCUCAAGACAUUAUAUAGGGAACACCGAGUAUGAACUGAUUUUUCUUAGAUUCUUUUUCUUAAACCAGACUUCAGAAGAAAAUCUAAUAGCAUUUUAACUUCACAAUACUGAUCAGGUUUUAUUUCCACAAAAGCUCAAAAGUAAUUGACCAAUAAUAAGCUUAAUUACUGAAAGUAUAGAUAUCUAUACAAUAUAGCAUAUGAGAUUGUUCCCUUGUAGCAAAUUUUUAAAUAUGUGUGUGUGUGUACAGUAAAAAGAAUUCAGUCUUUAGAAAGCAGAAACGUUAAGCUCAGCAGUGGUGGCACACACACGCCUUUAACCCUAACACUAAGGAGGCAGAGGCAGGUGGAUCUCUGUGAGUUCUGGGCCAGCCUGGUCUACAUAGUUAGUUCUAGGACAGGCAAGACUACACAGAAACCUUAUCUGGAAAAAACAGAAAUGUUCAGAAUUAUUCUGGCUUAAGGCUUAUGUCUGUUCUACAAAUUCAAUUGUGAAAAGUUGCAAUUUAAGAGAUAGCUGGAAGCCGGGCGUGGUGGCGCACGCCUUUAAUCCCAACACUCGGGAGGCAGAGGCAGGCGGAUUUCUGAGUUCGAGGCCAGCCUGGUCUACAAAGUGAGCUCCAGGACAGCCAGGGCUAUAUAGAGAAACCCUGUCUCGAAAAAGCCCCCCCAAAAAAAAGAGAGAGAGAGAGAUAGCUGGUUUAUUAUAAGGAGAAAAGUAGAAAAAGUAAAUUUGGAAAAUUUUUUAAAUGAAGAAAAUUGGGCUGGAGAGAUGGCUCUGUAGUUAAGAGCACUGGCUACUGCUCUUCUAGAGGUCAUGGGUUCAAUUCCCAGCAACCACGUGGUGGCUCACAGCCAUCUGUGAUGGGAUCCGAUGCCAGUGAAUAAAUAAAGGAUAAACAUUUGUCUUUUUGUUGUUGUUGCUUUAUUUUAGUUGAACCCAUGGGAUUUUUUAGCUCAUUAAUUAGAUGUAUAUGGAUGUAUUUUUUUUUUAAGAUAGGUUUAUUUUAAGUAUGAGUACACUGUCACUGUCUUCAGACACACCAGAAGAGGGCAUUGUAUCCCAUUACAGAUCGUUGUGAGCCACCAUGUCGUCAUUGGAAAUUGAACUCAGAGUUCACCUCUCCAGCCCCUUAUUAUCUGGC